CAGACUCAAUAUAACCUGCUUUUAUGGGAUAUCCAUCGAUCGCUAGGCUAUUCCACACAUCAGCUAACGAUUCCCAUGCAUACUCAAAAUGUUUAAUUUCCAGUUCCGAGUCCCUUGUUUUGAAUUUUUCAUUCAAGUGAGUUCCCUCUAGAUCAGAUCAUACUCAACCUGUGGCCCGCGGUCCACAUGCUGUAGUGUAUAAUAACGGCUGUCAAAUGACAGAUACUUUUAUUAGUGUAAUAUUAUGUGCGAUUCACAUAGCACGUUACGGAGAAGAACGUCUACGUUCCGUCAACGUCUCCACCAAUUCACACAUGCAGUCAAUGCUUCCCCCAGCACCGUCACGUCAAAUGCCAAACGAAUGAUUUAUUUAAUUUUAUUCAUGGUUUCGCCACCUACAACAAUUUUAAAUUGUAAUGCCCUCUUACAAAUCAGCAUGCCUAGAAUCAGUUCUAAAUUUGGAAAAAUUCAAUGAGAAUCAUUUAAUUCAAUUAUUAAAAUGCUUAAACCCCGUAGUCCGACCCUUAUGCAACAAUAAUAAUGAAUAGAAUAAUUCUUUCAACUAGUCGCGAAUGAUUUUCACUCCGAAUGACUUAGCUCCAAAGAGAUAUGUUGGCAUAAAAAGUACAGUAAGUUACUUAUAAAGCGAUAUGCUGAGGCACCACUCAGUGUCGCAUUGGAGUCGGUUUUGACCAGUAAUUGGACAUUUGCGACUGGUGGCGACUUUCAAUGUGGGGCCAUAAUUUGGGCCCCGAACUCAAUGUCUACAAAAAUGUCCAACUAGAGGUAAAAAUGUCUAAUUAAACGUGUUGCAUAACAGAUCUGUUCAAUUAGCUUAAUCUCGAUGUAGAUGUAAAUUACUGUGCAACCAAAUCAAAACAAAAGCCGAGACACAAAGCCCAGACAAAAACCAAACGAGCCGUCCGUCUCCGUCAAUUAUUCUUUUCUACAAACCCUGCCGGUCGUUUUCGUUGAACGUAUGCUGACGGGUCGUUACGUUGCUGGUGUAUGUGAAUGUUUUCAUGAGAAUUGCAUGGUAGAAUCAUUGACGUAUCGUGACGUGACGGGACGUGAACGUGACGUGUAUGUUGUAUGUGAAUCGCACUUUAGUGUUGAAAAAGCAUAACGCUCAUAACGCAUGUCAACGAAAUAAAACAAAUAAACUGCCCACAAUCCAAUCGACGAAAAAAACAUCGACCUAACAACGACCGUAAGGCUGUUACCUAUUCACGAUGACGACGAUUAGGUAUCGACAUCUGGAUACAGCAUUAGUUUGUAUGAGGCAAACUAUUCUCUAUCAUAUUAGUCGGCCCGAAUCAGUUUAUAUUUGCUAAAAUUUGUAUGAAAUUUUUUUCUUUGCAUAUUUUUUUCUGCUUAAAGUACGUUGUCAUGACCCUAAUUUGAAUUAUUUUCUAUAGACGUUCAGAUAUUCUCAAAAAAAACUUGUCAUUAUAAUAUAAAAUUAUCUCAAAACAUAUUUUUAUGGCGUUUUUUCACCACUUGCAGGCAAUGGUGAUUUUCACUUACAUAGAGUACUAAUUUGAUUAAGGAAAAAUCAUGUUCAUUCAUAAUUUUCAUUUUAAAAGUGUAUUCAUUCCUUCUGCAAAUCCAUACUGUCAUGCCUAUUCCCCAAUAUCGUCAACGCGGAUAGUUCGUUAGUCGAAAAUACUGAAUAAUUAAACAAACCAAAUGGCAUCACUGGUGGUUCUUUUUUCCACUCCGCUAAACUGUCAUCUCAAACAAAAACAAAUGGAUCAUACAACUGCCAUGAAUAAAUUCGACUCGUUUGCUUCCAUCAAUCGCAGCCAACAAGUUUUCCUGCAGCAGUAACCUCCAACCCCUGUUGACAAUGCCGGGGGACAGCAUCAACAGCAGCAGCAGCAGAAUUUGACCAUGAUAUGGUAUUGCGAAGAACUUUCCCCAUUAGAGGUUCCGUGCUUCUCGCACAUUCAAAAAUCCUCUUCAGACACGAAAACUCAACGACAAGGAGGUAUUUAUCAAGCUCAGCUGAAUUACCACCCGGAGGAACCCGAAUACACUGAUUCCGUUGUAUAGUAGAAUGAAAAUAGGCGAGGUAAGCGAACGUAAUCGCAUGAUAUUUUAAUGUUCACAUUUUUAUCCGGAUCAUACAACUGCUAUGAAUACAUCCUCAAUCAAUCGGCGAGUGAGAAAGAUGAUUUCCCUCAUCACCACAUUACCACAUUACUUAUUUACACUUCUGUCACACCAGCCAACAGCAUCAGCUUUCCCGCAGCAGUAUCCUUUAAGUCCAGGCUGCUAUUCCGGGGAACAGCAUCAACAGCAACAGCAGCAGGACCUGGCCAUCGAUAGUAUUUCGAGCAAUUUUCCCCCUCGGAGAUCUCGUGCUUCACGCACAUAGAAGAAUCCUCCUCAGCCACAUAUCUGUGUCAUCAAGGGCGAGGAGGUAUUCAUCAAUGUACUCAGUCGUAUUUGAAUCGUCAAUCCAGACAACCCAGAUGCACCGAUUCCAUUAUAUACCUUAUUUUUAUUAUACAUGGUUUUUUAUUAUUAUUUUUUUCAAUAAAAUGAUUAAAAUCGAUCAAUGUAUUUCCUUUUCAUUUUCAAUAACAAACCAAUACAAACAAGCAGCAAGCAGUGCUGGAAGCAGCGCUGCAAGCAGGUCGACGCCUUGCACAUGUUGGCGAAAAAGUGGCGUCAAGUUGUUCGAUGAAUGCAUAUGAAAGGUCGAUAACUCGAUUGCAAGGUGGCAGCAUUUGAGGUCGAUUGUUGACAUUUCAUCGACCCGAUCUUGGCAGGCAAAACGGAAUGUGGGUGGGAGCAGGUCUUCCUCUAUUUAGAGGCGAAUGAACUGAAAAGUUUAAAGCCUCUUUAAUCCAACAUCAUCAUCAUUCCUCUAUUGACGUUCAACACUCAACCUGGAAAGUCUUCUUUAUUUCGAUCCGAAACGUUAAAGGUUAUAGAUGUAAAAGUGGCGACGAGGAUAAAAAAAAGUGAAGUAUUUAGUGGAAAGUAUAGCGAAGAAAUAGUUUUUUAAAAGAAAAGGCGGCAAAGAAUAGUUUUAGCAAAAAAAGUGGGCAGGAGUUUUUUGUUCAAAAAGCUAGAAAAGAGGACAAACUAUUCAUUGGAAAAAGUGACAAAAAAAGAAAGUAGUUUCUAGACUGGCAGAAAGUGGCAGCGCUCAUUGUGCUCGAAAAACAGCUACAACGAAGUGCUCUUCCAUCUACCGGAGAAAUUCCGCUGAAUAUCGCUGUUUCCCGUAAACGGAAAUUCACGCAGUCCACCGCAUUCCCGCAAAUAGCGGAACACAAGGAUUAAAAACGAAAUCGCUCGACGGAAAUUGGCCGUGGACUACUGGCACUGAUAGAGGGACAAGAAAACCUGGUAAAAUUUACUUGUUCAUCCAGUUGGUGAGUGUUUUUUUUUAAUUUUUUUUAUUAAAUUUGAAUCUGAAACUAGAUUUUUUUAUAUAAAUAAAAGUGAAGACAAAUUUUGUGAGGAUUAUGGAACAGACGUUGCUAUCCACAAUUGAGCCCUAUAGAAAGGGAGUUUCUUUUGCCGAGUGGGCAGACCGGUUAGGAUAUUUUUUUAUUCUGAACCGAGUAAAGGAAGAGGAGAAAAAAGCUCAUUUGAUUAUGCUUGGCGGAGCAAUUGUUUUCAGAGAGCUGAAACUUUUGUUCCCCAAUGAUAAAUUGGAGACUGCAAAUUAUCCCGAUUUAAUAAACAAGCUAAAAUCUAGAUCGGAUAAAACAGAAUCUGGGCUAAUGCAAAUAUUCAAAUUCAAUAACCGUGUUCAGCAACCCGAUGAAUCCGCGGAAGAUUUUGUUCUCUCUAUUAAAUUACAAGCGGAAUUUUGUGCAUUCGAAAACUUUAAACAGACGGCAAUUAUGGAUAGGAUCGUGGCCGGUUUACGUGAAAAAUCUCUUCAACAACGUUUGUUGAAUGAGGAAGAUUUAACCCUAGAAACAGCAGAGAGAAUAAUAACCACCUGGGAAUUGGCUAGUGCAAAUGCAAAAUCCCUUGGCGGAAACCCUUCCAUUGAUAGAAUAUCCUCAAUACAAAAUUAUGAUAAAGCAAAUGGUGGUAAAGUUAUGGAAAAACUAUUGAAUACAUAUAAAAUGGCGGAGAUGAAGAAGGGAUCCAGUAAAAAACAGAUUGGGAUUCAAAGGUAAAGGGUUCCAAUCAAAUUUUAAACACAAUUAUGGAAAUGCCAACCGGAAUCAAAAUUUUAAAUCAACUUACUGGAGAGUUAACCAGCAAAAUAAAAACUCGGAGUUUUCAGCUAUUGAUUGCAAUUUCUGCGGAAUGAAGGGCCAUAUUAAAAGGAAUUGUUUCAAAUUGAAAAAUAUGAAAAGAGAUUCGGUGAAUUAUUUAGGCAGACCAGGAACCAGUAAGGACGGACUAAGCGACCUACUCAAGAGGAUGAACACGGACGAUCAGGACAGUGACGACAACGAUGAAGGUGAUUUCCAGUGUAUGUAUGUUUCGUCAAUUAAUAAAAUAAGUAAUCCAUGUUUGGUGGAGACACUAAUCGAGGGAAAGCCCAUAAAAAUGGAGGUAGAUUGUGGAUCGUCAGUUUCGGUUAUGAAUAAAAAUCAAUAUUUUUCAACAUUCAGUAAAAAUGUAUAAACAGUUGAUUGUUGUGAACGGGCAUAAAU